AGCCGAUUGCACAAGCUGCCACCCACACUGGUGUUGCAAGGCCAACAGUCAGCCUGAAUCACCACCCUACAGCAGCCUGUGUUCCUUCCAACGCCUGGCUUCAGCUUACCGAUUCAAGAUGCAAGAAAGUAAAAUGUCGGUAUUGGUGACCAAGAAAGCAGGUCAGCCCCUGGUUGCGUUGGAGAGGGAUGCAGCCUGGGUGUUGGGAGAGAGCUCCACUCCUGAGUCACAGUGCCUCUGGGUUCUGUGGUUCCACUCCGUGUGAAAGGUCCUUCUGUGGCAUACUUGCAAGGCUGCCUUCAUUCAGUCUAGGAGAGAAUAUUGCUUCAAUUGGAACAGAGGAAUCAUUAUAUGGAAAACAACAACAACGACAACAACAAACAAACACCACUUGUGCUGGGCUCUGCUCUGUGGACACAGAACCCGUGAAGAGAUGGGUGGCUUCUGCCUUCUAUUGGCAUGCAACUCUGCUCAGGAAGCAAAAAAAGUUUUGGAACCCAUGUACCAUCCAGAAACAAGGACUUGGCACGGGUGGGAAAAUUGCCUGUAUUGAAUUAAAUUGUGUUGUACUGUGGAUUGGCAGGGGGAAAAGAGGUGUGGAGUGGCCCAUGCAUGUAACUGGCAAAAACACCCAUACUAGAGUAUUAAUUAAAGCCUGCUGAGUAACGAUGACCAUGGAGAUGGAAGGAA